UGCUCAUUGUAAUGUAAUGGCGACUGCCUGUUGAAAUUCUCACAAAUUGUCAAUACGCUUUAGAAAUUCUUAUAUUAUUUGAUGAUAACCGCUAUAAAUGACUGAUUAAGAAAUGGGCCUUUCCAGAGGGGAUGCAUACGAAGUGUUAGAAUUGCCAAUUGGUGCAGAUAAUGAUUCAAUAAGAACAAGUUACAAAAGACUAGCUCAGAAAUGGCAUCCAGAAAAACAUCCUAAUUCUCCAGAUUCAUUACAGAAAUUUAGACAAGUUAGUCAUGCCUAUAGAAGACUUAUUACAGACAGCCAAGCAGAAAUGGACACUAAAGAAAUGUUAAAACAAUUUAAAGAUUUAUUUUUUACAAAACCUACCAAAACAGUGAAUGGGCGUCAUUCCUAUUCAACAGAUGAAGAUUCCAGUGAUGUUGAUGAUAGUGAUGAUGAUGAAGACCAGUAUUGUAAUGUAGCACAUGAUAGAUGUAAACAUAAACACGAUAUACCCAAUAGCAAAAAAAGUCCUAGAAAUACUACAUACCUCUCCCCAGAGGAUAUACAAAAAAAUGCAGAGGAAUUAGUAACGGAAGAAGAUAAAGAGAAAAAGAAAAAUGAUAGAAAAAAAGCUAAAAAGAAAAGACGAAAAGAAAGAAAGCGUUUAGAAAAAGAAAAACAAGAUGAUAAAGGAAAAUCCAAAAAGUCUAAUGGUAAAAAAAAUGAUAGAACUGGUUCCAGUAGUGAUUCUUCUUCAGAUGAAGGCACUGGUUUUGAAUCCCAUCCAGCGUUUUUUACAAAAGUUAUAAAUAAAAAAAAGAAAGGUAGUGCUCCUGAAACAACACAAACAAAUAAAAAAGAUAAAAAAACAAAAGAUUCCCAACAAUCAACUAAAAGUGAAGAAGAGGUUGAAGGAUUAGAUCCUAUAGUUCUUCGAAGUAGACAGUUAGCCAUUCGAGGGAAUGAAAUGGCCCAAUUAGAAUAUUACAGUGCAGCUAUAGAACUUUUUACUGAAGCUAUAAAACUUGAUCCAAAAGAUUUCAGAUUUUUUGGUAAUAGAUCUUAUUGCUUCGACAGAAUGCAACAAUAUGAUAAAGCUUUAAAAGAUGCAGAAAAAGCUAUUUCUUUAUGUAAAGAUUGGCCGAAAGGUUAUUUUAGAAAAGGAAGAGCUUUAGCUGGUUUAAAAUUAUAUCCUGAUGCAGAAAAGGCUUUUAUGCAGGUGCUAAAAUUAGAUAAAAAUUGUGAGGAGGCAGUCCAAGAACUUUUACGAGUGCGGACAUACCAACUUACAGAAAUGGGUUUUACAAAACAACAGGCAGAAGGUGCAAUAAAAAAAUAUGGUUCUGUACAAACAGCCUUAGAUUCCUUAUUAGCAGGCAUGGCUGAGAGUGCAUUAUCUGGUGAAGUAUAUUUAUCUGAUGAUGAUGAACCGGUGACAAGAAAAGCUAGUCCACCAUUAAUAACACAUUAUCCUGUACAAAUACAACAAUCAGAUGUUAAAAUGGAUCCAAGAAAUGUUGAAGGUUUAACUGCACUGUGGGUAGGGAAUGUUUUGCCUCAGGUAUCCGAAAAAAAAUUAAUGCAAAUGUUUUCAAGAUAUGGACCCGUAACAAGUGUCCGAUUAUUACCCGAAAAAUAUUGUGCUUUUGUAAAUUAUAAAACUAAAGAAGCUGCAGGCAAGGCUAUGCAUGGCUUGCAGGGUGAAGAAUGUGAAGGACAAAAAUUAUUAGUUAGAUUUCCUGAUCAUCCGAUUAGUAAUGGUCAUACAACUUUACGGAAAUCUCAACCACAAAUACAACAGCAACAACAACAGCAACAACAACAGCAACAACAACAACCUGUACAACCAACAAUACCAACUAAACAAGGUCGCGCUGGCCACCACAGGGGAAGUAGAGGCAGUGGGUACGGAACCUACCCAAACAAAGCGGUCCGGUAAAUGGGGAUGAGUGUUAUUUUUGGAGAACAACUGGGUGUAUAUAUGGUGACAAAUGUCGGUAUAAACAUAUAAAUGAUCACAAAGGGUUGGAUAAAAAACCAUGGCAACAGUGACAAUAUUUACAUCCAAAGAUCUCUCCAAAUAUAUAAACAUAUACCCCGUUAUGUGCAACUAUGAAGAAAGAUUUGUUAAUGUGUGAUGACUAUUUGUUGUUUCUAUUUGAUCUGAUUGAGACUAUUUUAUUUCUAUAUAUAACUAUGGAAACGUGAAGAACGUGUAAUAUUAUCAGUGACUGUGAUCUGGCAUAUAUUAACAGCUAGUAAUGUUUGUUAAUAAUAUCUAUAGCUUGAUCAAAUCUCUACUACUACUACUUAAAAUAACCGGUAAAUGUGUAUGUUAUCAUAUAAUCAGGUAUUGGUUUUUAUUUAUCUACUAGGGUGAGCAUCAAGUACAAGUAUGAUACAUUUCCAAAACUCGCAAUAUAAACAGUUUGAUUAACAUCAGAAUACUCUGUAUCAAACUUUCCAGGAAAAGAGACUAUUGUGAUUGGAACAAAUUUUUAAAAUUUCAGUAAAGUGAUUAACAGAUUCCUUUAUCCAGUUGAAUUUUUGGUUUGAUUAUCAAUUAAAGUUUCUUGUAUCUGCCUGUGAUCAACAAAUCUGCAACAAGAUUUUGAAGAGAAAAAACCUUUAGUUCAAUUACAGUUUGUUAGUUUUCAUGCAAAGAGUCUUAUUCAGGAAGACCUAAAUCUCUAAUCUAUUGUAACCUACAAUCAGGACUUUAAUAGAUAAUGAUAAACAAUUUUCAGAGAUUUAUGUUUUUGACAAAUAAGACCGCUAGAUUUGUAUUCAGGGUUUGAUCCAGGAUUUUUCAAAUAGGGCUGGUUUGCUACAGAAUUGGGAUAAAGGUACACAUGAUAUCAUUUUGUAUAUUAAUUGUACAAACAUGGAUAUUUUAUCUAUUCAUAAAACCGGUGUUAAUGUUAUCUGCAAAGGUUAUCCAACCUCUUCCAAAUAGUGAUAAACUUCUUUUAAAAGCCUGUCUUCAUUAUCCCAGUCGGAACAGAACAGUAGGAUGUUUAACCCAAUUUCAUUGCAUUUCGUUUGAAAGCUCAGUCAUUUUCUAUUAACUUAACUUGUAAUUGUAAUUAUGAAAAACUUUAAACAAUUUAAGAUGUCAUAUUAAGAAUAUUAGGCCCUUGAAUAUUUUGUCUAUGGAAAGAAAGGCAAGCCCUAGAUCAAACCCUGUAUAUGUGUUGUGGAGCUACACACAUUUAAGAUUAAAAACAUGACUCUCCUGUUUCUGUUUUUAUAGUUUAAUGACAUUUAGUAGCUGUAAAGAGCAAACCCUAGUCAUGCAUGAAUUUAUCCAUCCAAAGCCUAUAAAUUAUAACUACACUAUUGUUUACAACUGAAGAAUAUUUGUUCUUAAUUUAGUAUUUGGAUUAUAUUUGGUUUGUGUUUAUUUUUUAAAACAUAGUAUUUUGUUAAGUUUUUGUAUAUCCUGCCAUUGUUGUUUAUGAAAUCGAUAUCUCUUUUUUUAGAUGUUUCCUUGGACGUACAUUGGACGUCAAAUACUGUACUUUCUCAUAUAGUAGAAGAUAGUGUUUAUUAUGUCAAAGCUUGGUUUGGGAGAACAAAUCAAAGGAAUAGAGACAAUUCUGUAAUCCUAUUUGACCUGUAUUGUAUUUAGGGGGAGUCAAACAUUUUGAAAAUAAAGGAGUCGGAUAUACAAUGAUGGCACUGUGUCAUUCAAAAGAAGCAAAGACAAAACGCAUUUGUAAUCUUAAAAUCGUGAAUUUUCAAGGUUGGGUACUAAAAAUUAUGAUACAGAUCACUAAUAAUAUUCAACAAGAGGUAAAAUACUAUCUUAAUUUUUAAUAAUACUUGUUUUGAUCAAAUUUUUUGGCCCCCGCCUUUUGAAGAAAGCAGGGGACUAUUAAAAUGGGUCCAUCUGUCUGUCUGUCACACUUUUUGGGACACAAUAACUCUCCUUCUCAUUGAGCUAGAUUGUUCAAUCUUGGUGUAGGUGUUUAUUACGUCGAUGCCUAGAUGGAGUUUGUUGAAGAUGAGCAUUGUCUGCUUACGGUAAGCAGAGAUAAGCAAUUUGAUUGGUUGAUGCUUUGGGACAUGGUAACUUUAGUUUUUAUUAAGUGAGAGUGAUGAAACUUGGUGUAUAGUUUUAUUACAUCAAUACCUUGACUAAGUUCGAUAAUGAGCAUUUUCUGCUCAGGGUAAGCAGAGCGAUAAGCAAUUUAAUUGGUCGAUGUUCAUAAGGUGAAUGUCUUGACUGAGUUAAAUGAUUAACAUUUCCCGCUAAAGCUAAGCAGAGCUAAGCAAUUUCUUUGACUUUGAUCUCAUCUGAUAGAGAGUGAUGAAACUUAGUGUAUAGUUGAUAAUCAAUUUGAUUGUUCGAUACUUUUGUAAAAAAAUAAAUGUGCGAUUAAUUAAUAUGUCAUCUAUUUAUUCUGGGAUUUUGACGGGGGAUGUCAGCCUCACUGUUGGCUUGUUAUUAAUUAUUCAUGGUUAUUGGUUUCAGUUAAGUGUUGUUUGCACAAACUUGAUAAAGCAUUACAUCACUAUCUUUUUUACAUCCAGAUAUAAUGUGUUUAUUGUUGUCACCUUUGUCGGCCGUCCGACCACAAUAUAUAGUGUCCACUCUACAGGUAAGUGUUCAUAAGAGAUUUUUAUCAAAUUCGCAAGGAUUAUUCAUUGAGUCAUAAGGAAGACCCCUAUCAAGAUUAAAAUGUAAAAGUUCUCCAUGUAUUUUCAAGAAUAACUUUGAGAUUGUUCAUUUAGGCUUAAGGAGGAAUCCUAAUUUUUGAUUCCAAAUCUUACAGUGAUUCCCAUUUUUAUGUUUAAAUUUAUGGAAUCCUGUGAAUUUUUUAAAAAUUUGGUGGUAUUGUUCAUUGAUGUACAAGGAUAAGAAACUACCCAUUGAUUUUCAACGAUUUUUGUAAUUAUUCCCAGAGUUAUGGCCCUAGAUCAUUUUGAAAUAUCUUGUGGAUGUUCAAGUUAACAUCUGAUUGACUUUAAAUUUAUACACAAUGUUAAAGGCCGUGAGACGAUUUCCAAUAAUUACUGCCAGAGUUAUGGCCCUUAAUCACUUUGAAAUAUCUUGUGGAUGCUCUACAUGCCAAAGUGAUCAUUCCAUUAACUUUAGAUUGAUACAAGGUCUUGAGAUGAACAAGUAUAUUGAUUUUCAAUGAUUUUUGAGAAAUUGAACAGCUAAAUGUUAGAUGUUUUGUAUACUAACGUUAGCAUGGGAUAGAACUAGAAGCCAAACAAAUUCCAAUGAUUUUCUGAUAAUUACUUAAUGAGUUGUUACUCUUAAUAAAAUUUUAGUGUAUUAUAAAUAUUUCAUUACCGACAAAAGAAAAAAUAUGCAACAACUCUUGUUGACUUCACAGGGGACUUAGCCGCUGUGGGUUUAUGUUUCGUUGCCUGGCAACCCAUCUUUCAAAAUUUAUUGGAUUAUAAUAAUAAAUUGUUAACAUUUUUGACUGGGAAAGAGUUAUUUUACCUUGCAGGAUUUGUUGACAAUGAUUUUAGAGAUAGCACUGGUGGGCAUAUUUAUAAGGCUUGAGUCUGAUAAGUCUCUAUCAAUCUUUACCUAUAUUGGUGCAUGGUAUUUAAAACCAACAUUAUGUUGUUCCCAGUGAGGAUAUCUAAUAACCAGUGGUUGUGAUGAUUUAAAUCCUACAAUAUUUUGAUGAGAUUGUUUUGUUUCUGUAGAUGAUUGAUUGUUUUGUUAAAGUGAAAAAAAUAAAAACCUAUAAUAGAUAAAGUGAACCUAGUCUCUUCUACUGUGUUAUCUCAAGUUGGGAAUAUGUGUAUACAUACAUUAGCUAGGAUAGCUUCUCUUGUUUACUUGUAUAGAAUGUAUGAAAUAUGAAAUAAACAUAUUUUAAAUUCA